GGUUCUAUGGUGUAGUGGUAGCACGUUGGACUUUGAAUCCAGAGAUCCGAGUUCAAUUCUCGGUAGAACCA
rfam:Stentor coeruleus isolate WM001 SteCoe_contig_848, whole genome shotgun sequence.